rnacentral:rRNA from 1 species
ACGGGAGGCAGCAGUGGGGAAUAUUGCACAAUGGGGGAAACCCUGAUGCAGCGACGCCGCGUGAGCGAAGAAGUAUUUCGGUAUGUAAAGCUCUAUCAGCAGGGAAGAAAAUGACGGUACCUGACUAAGAAGCCCCGGCUAACUACGUGCCAGCAGCCGCGGUAAUACGUAGGGGGCAAGCGUUAUCCGGAUUUACUGGGUGUAAAGGGAGCGUAGACGGCAAGGCAAGUCAGAAGUGAAGGCAUAGGGCUUAACCCUGUAACUGCUUUUGAAACUGUUUAGCUAGAGUGUCGGAGAGGUAAGGGGAAUUCCUAGUGUAGCGGUGAAAUGCGUAGAUAUUAGGAGGAACACCAGAGGCGAAGGCGGCUUACUGGACGAUUACUGACGUUGAGGCUCGAAAGCGUGGGGAGCAAACAGGAUUAGAUACCCUGGUA